rnacentral:rRNA from 1 species
GACGAACGCUGGCGGCGUGCUUAACACAUGCAAGUCGAACGAAGAGCGAUGGCAUCUUGCUUCUAUCAAUCUUAGUGGCGAACGGGUGAGUAACGCGUAAUCAACCUGCCCUUCAGAGGGGGAUAACAGUUGGAAACGACUGCUAAUACUGCAUACGAUCUCAUCUCGGCAUCGAGGAUAGAUGAAAGGUGGCUUCUACAUGUAAGCUAUCACUGCAGGAGGGGAGUGCGGCGGUGUAGCUAGUUGGCGGGGUAAGGGCCCACGAAGGCGAUGGUCAGUAGCCGGUCGGAGAGGAUGGACAGCCACAUUGGGACGGAGACACGCCCCAGUCGCCUAGGGGAGGCAGCAGUAGUGAAUCUUCCGCAAGGGACGAGAGACUGACGGAGCAACGCCGCGGGAGGAAUGACGGCCGUCGGGUUGUAAAUCUCUGUUAUUCGGGACGAAAGGCCUUCUUGCGAAUAGGGAGAAGGAUUGACGGUACCGGAAUAGAAAGCCACGGCUAACUACGUG